CAACUACAGCAGCAGAGUAAUAACGCUAUUCCGUUGAUUGCUUGAGGUGAGUAAAAGUGGUUGUGUAAAUAUCUUAUAAUAUGAAAUGCGAUGUUCGAUCAUUUAUUUAUCCAUGGUACGUUCAAUUUGAAUAAUUAUUGUUAAUAAUUGUUAUAAAUUGCUAAUUUUAUUGUUCUUUGUGGAUUGUAACAGUACACUCUGUACAUGGGUUUAGUUCAUUCGAUUUUACAGAGGUAUGGCAUCACAUUUGUCAAGUUAUUUGAACAGACAUGCAUGAUUUUUGUGUGUAUAUUAUUAUUAUUAUUAUUUUUCAGGAUGACAUGAUCAGGAGGUGGUGGUGUUCUGUUCUCCUGGACAGCUUUACUCCGCAAAUGUAUGUAGCUGUUUGAAUGUUGCUACAUGAAACAUUACUCUGUACUAUAUCUAGCAAUAUACCUACCUCUUGACAUUUGUUCUUUUAGAGCUCAAACACUGAGGGGAGGAACUUCACUAUUCACCAUGUCUUCAGGCAGAGUCCAGCAAAGCAGCUUCCACUGGAAAUCCUCAGGGAAGUUAUUUUGUCGGCGGGUAACUCUCCAUAUUUGACACUUUCUCUGGUUUGCAGAUGGUUUAGGGAUGUGCUCCGAAGUUUUUCGGAAAGCGGCACAGUUUGCCUGGCUAGAGAUUGUGGCCAACUGGAAGAAUUGUCCUCCUGUCUCCUGACCGGAACGAGUUCAGACGGAUGUACAGCAUCAGGGAAUGCGUGCAGUGCAGAGCCCUUUUCAAGUUUAACCCACUGGGUACAGGGAAGAGACCGGCGUGGUGAUCUUCUGGGCUUUUGUUUACACAGGAUUUUGUUCCAAGGACUGUUUUUUUUUUUUUUUGGCAUGAAACACAUUUGUGUGUUAAGUUCAUUGAAGGGAAAUAGUUGAACUGAGAUCAACUGGUUUUGAUGUAUUAAUUGAUGUCAUUUAAAGUUAAACUUUGCACUGUAUAAUGUUUUAAUAAAAAAGCUAUGGAAAACACGUGCAUGACAACAGGUUUCAGUCAUUUACAUCAGUCUAUCAUUCUUUAAGGUUUCUCAUAUUUGAUGAUAACAUGAUUUGCUAUGCAUUGCUCAUAAUGGAUUCUUAGUUUAGUUG